rnacentral:rRNA from 1 species
UGCUAAUUAGGUGACAAGAGCGGCGUUAAUACGUUAGGUCCAUGCGAUAUCCGGAGUUAUUGGUCGUAAAGCUAGUGCAGUCGGUUAUUUAAGUCGGAUGUGAAAUCCUACGGCUCAUCCGUAGAAUUGCAUCGGAAACUGGAUGACUUGAGUGCAGUAGAGGAGAGUGGAACUCCAGGUGUAGCGGUGAAAUGCGUAGAGAUAUGGAAGAACACCAGAGGCGAAGGCGGCUCUCUGGACUGUAACUGACGCUGAGGCUCGAAAGUGUGGGUAGCAAACAGGAUUAGAUACCCCGGUAGUC